UCAAAAACAUCUUUUCUUGUUAGUUUCUGAAGUAUGGCCUGCCCGCUGACGUAUCUUGAGUUGAAGGGCCGCGGUAUUUUGACCGUGCAAAGGUAGCAUAGUCAUUAGUUCUUUAAUUGUGAUCUGGUAUGAAUGGCUUGACGAGACAUGGGCUGUCUUGGGCGUGAAUUUGUUGUUGAAUUUGGAGUUUAAGUUAAAAUUCUUAGAUGUUUUUAUGGGACGAGAAGACCCUAUAGAGUUUGACAUUUGAUUGCGUAUUUUUUAUUGUUUGUUUUGAGUUUUUGCGUAUCUUUUGUUUUGUUGGGGUGAUGGGAGGAAUUUAUUUAA
rnacentral:rRNA from 1 species